rnacentral:rRNA from 1 species
UACGUAGGGAGCAAGCGUUGUCCGGAAUCAUUGGGCGUAAAGCGCUUGUAGGCGGCUUGUUAAGUCUCGUGUGAAAUCCCCAGGCUUAACCUGGGAAGUGCGCGAGAAACUGGCGAGCUUGAAUGCCGGAGAGGGUCGCGGAAUUCCCGGUGUAGAGGUGAAAUUCGUAGAUAUCGGGAGGAACACCGGUGGCGAAGGCGGCGACCUGGGUCGAUACUGACGCUGAGGUGCGAAAGCGUGGGGAGCAAACAGG